rnacentral:rRNA from 1 species
GAUGAACGCUGGCGGCGUGCCUAAUACAUGCAAGUCGAGCGAACGGACGAGAAGCUUGCUUCUCUGAUGUUAGCGGCGGACGGGUGAGUAACACGUGGAUAACCUACCUAUAAGACUGGGAUAACUUCGGGAAACCGGAGCUAAUACCGGAUAAUAUUUUGAACCGCAUGGUUCAAAAGUAAAAGACGGUCUUGCUGUCACUUAUAGAUGGAUCCGCGCUGCAUUAGCUAGUUGGUAAGGUAACGGCUUACCAAGGCAACGAUGCAUAGCCGACCUGAGAGGGUGAUCGGCCACACUGGAACUGAGACACGGUCCAGACUCCUACGGGAGGCAGCAGUAGGGAAUCUUCCGCAAUGGGCGAAAGCCUGACGGAGCAACGCCGCGUGAGUGAUGAAGGUCUUCGGAUCGUAAAACUCUGUUAUUAGGGAAGAACAUAUGUGUAAGAAACUGUGCACAUCUUGACGGUACCUAAUCAGAAAGCCACGGCUAACUACGUG